rnacentral:piRNA from 1 species
GCUACCCAGCUCUACAGCAUGUCUAGCCAGC